rnacentral:rRNA from 1 species
CAGCCCUAAACGAUGCGCGUUAGGUGUAUCGGUGACCACGAGUCACCGAGGUGCCGAAGGGAAACCGUGAAACGUGCCGCCUGGGAAGUACGGUCGCAAGGCUGAAACUUAAAGGAAUUGGCGGGGGAGUACCACAACGGGUGGAGCCUGCGGUUUAAUUGGACUCAACGCCGGGAAGCUCACCGGAUAAGACAGCGGAAUGAUUGCCGGGCUGAAGACCCUGCAUGACCAGCUGAGAGGAGGUGCAUGGCGUGUGACU